rnacentral:rRNA from 1 species
GACGAACGCUGGCGGCGUGCUUAGCACAUGCAAGUCGAACGGAAAGGCCCUGCUUUUGUGGGGUGCUCGAGUGGCGAACGGGUGAGUAACACGUGAGUAACCUGCCCUUGACUUUGGGAUAACUUCAGGAAACUGGGGCUAAUACCGGAUAGGAGCUCCUGCUGCAUGGUGGGGGUUGGAAAGUUUCGGCGGUUGGGGAUGGACUCGCGGCUUAUCAGCUUGUUGGUGGGGUAGUGGCUUACCAAGGCUUUGACGGGUAGCCGGCCUGAGAGGGUGACCGGCCACAUUGGGACUGAGAUACGGCCCAGACUCCUACGGGAGGCAGCAGUGGGGAAUAUUGCACAAUGGGCGGAAGCCUGAUGCAGCAACGCCGCGUGCGGGAUGACGGCCUUCGGGUUGUAAACCGCUUUCGCUCAUGACGAAGCUUUGUGUGACGGUAGUGGGUAAAGAAGCACCGGCUAACUACGUG